UCUGGGAUUAGUACCCUGUUAUUAAAAAUAUAAUUAUUAUUUAUAAAGUAGUAGAAAUUAAUUAUUGAAAUUUAAAAAAUUUGGCGGUAUUUUAAUCUAUUCAGAGGAACUUGUUUUUUAAUUGAUAAUACUCAUUAAAUUUUACUUAAUUUAUUAGUUUGUAUAUCGUCGUCAUAGGAAAAUUUUUUAAAAAAUAAUAAUUUUCUAAUAUUAUUAUUUUAAUUUAUGUCAGAUCAAGGUGCAGCUUAUAAUUAAGAAAAAAUUAGUUACAUUAAAAGUAUUUAUACUGAUAAGGUUAUUUUUUUAUCUUUGAAGGUGGAUUUGAAAGUAAAAUUUUUUUAUAAUAAAAAUUUGAUUUAAGUUUUAAAAUAUGUACAAAUCGCCCG
rnacentral:rRNA from 1 species